rnacentral:tRNA from 1 species
GAGGGUAUAGCUCACUGGUAGAGUACGUAAUUAGCAUUCACGAGGUCCUGGGUUUAAUCCCUAGUACCUCCA